rnacentral:rRNA from 1 species
GAUGAACGCUAGCUACAGGCUUAACACAUGCAAGUCGAGGGGAAACGGCAUUAAGUGCUUGCACUUUUUGGACGUCGACCGGCGCACGGGUGAGUAACGCGUAUCCAACCUUCCCAUGACUAAGGGAUAACCUGCCGAAAGGCAGACUAAUACCUUAUGGUCUUCACUGACGGCAUCAGAUGUGAAGUAAAGAUUUAUCGGUUAUGGAUGGGGAUGCGUCUGAUUAGCUUGUUGGCGGGGUAACGGCCCACCAAGGCAACGAUCAGUAGGGGUUCUGAGAGGAAGGUCCCCCACAUUGGAACUGAGACACGGUCCAAACUCCUACGGGAGGCAGCAGUGAGGAAUAUUGGUCAAUGGGCGAGAGCCUGAACCAGCCAAGUAGCGUGCAGGAUGACGGCCCUAUGGGUUGUAAACUGCUUUUGUAUGGGGAUAAAGUCAAUCACGUGUGAUUGUUUGCAGGUACCAUACGAAUAAGGACCGGCGAAUUCCGU